UUGUGAGUGCAGGUGGUGUUUGUAAAAGAAAUGUAUCUGCUUUGACACUUUUCCUGUUUUAUGUACUUUGGUUUUAUAUGUCAAACCCAGAAGAACACCACCUUAUACCACAUACAACAAGAUGAUGACAGUUUUAAUUGCUAUCUUCUUGCUUGCACCAGAUCUCUCAGAGACCAUUAAUGUUCAGCAGACACCAUCACUAGUCAUAAAAAAAACAAGUGAUUCAAUUGAAUUAAGAUGCAGCCAUGGUGACAGUAGCUAUCCCUUCAUGCUCUGGUACCAGCAAUCAACAGAAGAAACAGCUUUGAAGCUCAUUGGGUCCAUCAGUGGUUCUUCUCCUAAUUAUGAGCCCAGCUUCCAAAAGAGAUUCAGUUUAAUUGGGGAAGCAACAAAAACUGUCAUAUUGACCAUUUCUCAGUUACAGACUGAAGACACUGCACUAUAUUUCUGUGCAGCCAGUAUGCACAGUGUUACAUUUUACAGCAUUUCAGCACAAAAUCUUUAGAAAUCUCUUCCACUCAUCUAAUAUCAAAGUAACUUUCCACCAUGUCUUCAGUAUGAGUUUAAAAUAAUAAAGUAGUACCUUGAUCUUUUUGAAGAGCAACAAUUCUAAUCAUCCAUCCAUCCAUCGUCUAACCCGCUGAAUCCGAAUACAGGGUCACAGGGGUCUGCUGGAGCCAAUCC